rnacentral:rRNA from 1 species
CGGCGGCCUAAACAUGGCAAGUCGAACGAACUCUUCGGAGUUAGUGGCGGACGGGUGAGUAACACGUGGGAACGUGCCUUUAGGUUCGGAAUAACUCAGGGAAACUUGUGCUAAUACCGAAUGUGCCCUUCGGGGGAAAGAUUUAUCGCCUUUAGAGCGGCCCGCGUCUGAUUAGCUAGUUGGUGAGGUAAAGGCUCACCAAGGCGACGAUCAGUAGCUGGUCUGAGAGGAUGAUCAGCCACAUUGGGACUGAGACACGGCCCAAACUCCUACGGGAGGCAGCAGUGGGGAAUCUUGCGCAAUGGGCGAAAGCCUGACGCAGCCAUGCCGCGUGAAUGAUGAAGGUCUUAGGAUUGUAAAAUUCUUUCACCGGGGACGAUAAUGACGGUACCCGGAGAAGAAGCCCCGGCUAACUUCGUGCCAGCAGCCGCGGUAAUACGAAGGGGGCUAGCGUUGCUCGGAAUUACUGGGCGUAAAGGGAGCGUAGGCGGACAUUUAAGUCAGGGGUGAAAUCCCGGGGCUCAACCUCGGAAUUGCCUUUGAUACUGGGU